GACGAACGCUGGCGGCGUGCUUAACACAUGCAAGUCGAACGGAAAGGCCCUGCUUUUGUGGGGUGCUCGAGUGGCGAACGGGUGAGUAACACGUGAGUAACCUGCCCUUGACUUUGGGAUAACUUCAGGAAACUGGGGCUAAUACCGGAUAGGAGCUCCUGCUGCAUGGUGGGGUUUGGAAAGUUUCGGCGGUUGGGGAUGGACUCGCGGCUUAUCAGCUUGUUGGUGGGGUAGUGGCUUACCAAGGCUUUGACGGGUAGCCGGCCUGAGAGGGUGACCGGCGACAAUGGGACUGAGAUACGGCCCAGACUACUACGGGAGGCAGCAGUGGGGAAUAUUGCAGAAUGGGCGGAAGCCUGAUGCAGCAACGCAGCGUGCGGGAUGACGGCCUUCGGGUUGUAAACCGCUUUCGCCUGUGACGAAGCGUGAGUGACGGUAAUGGGUAAAGAAGCACCGGCUAACUACGUG
rnacentral:rRNA from 1 species